GAUGAACGCUGGCGGCGUGCCUAAUACAUGCAAGUCGAGCGAACAGACGAGGAGCUUGCUCCUCUGACGUUAGCGGCGGACGGGUGAGUAACACGUGGAUAACCUACCUAUAAGACUGGGAUAACUUCGGGAAACCGGAGCUAAUACCGGAUAAUAUAUUGAACCGCAUGGUUCAAUAGUGAAAGACGGUUUUGCUGUCACUUAUAGAUGGAUCCGCGCCGCAUUAGCUAGUUGGUAAGGUAACGGCUUACCAAGGCAACGAUGCGUAGCCGACCUGAGAGGGUGAUCGGCCACACUGGAACUGAGACACGGUCCAGACUCCUACGGGAGGCAGCAGUAGGGAAUCUUCCGCAAUGGGCGAAAGCCUGAUGGAGCAACGCCGCGUGAGUGAUGAAGGUCUUCGGAUCGUAAAACUCUGUUAUUAGGGAAGAAAAAAUGUGUAAGUAACUAUGCACGUCUUGACGGUACCUAAUCAGAAAGCCACGGCUAACUACGUG
rnacentral:rRNA from 1 species